UUGUAUACUUGGCAUAUCUGUGCCAAACAACCAACAACUGUGUGAACCAUACCUUUGACUGUUGUUGUCGAGGAACGGACUUGGUAGAAGGCGGAGUGAAGCUCUGCUCUCGUUUUCGGGUGCAGUGCGGUAGCUUGCGCGCUACCAUUGUCUGUCGACAUCAGCUACUUGCCACGUACUCUGUAACAACCGUGAAUACUUAACAAUUUCUAUAAACCAAAUA
rnacentral:misc_RNA from 1 species